AAGGAGGGUCUUCCCCCCAGGCCCCCCCGUCGCCCCCGAGCCGCUCCGCAGCAGCACGUGGACGGCUGCCCACAAACUCUGACGUUUCCCACCCACUCACACACACCCAAGCCCCCCAGACACAGGGACAAAAGUGCAAAAUGGGAACCAAGGUGAUACUACGUUUCAGACCAGAGAAAAGCAGCAUCUGUCCACAGAGGAGACAACCAGCAAAAAAAGCCCCACUCCCUUAAAGGUCCAUUUCCCACAAAAGUUUACUUGCUACAUUUAAUCCGAAAUGAGAGACGCCUGUUUCCACGUGUUGUAUGUUCAUUUCAGCUAUAACGCUAUCUCUACAGGAAGAAUUUUCUUAAACACGUAUGAUAUUAGAGACUUGGGGGAAAGUCUUAAUUUUCAACGUAUAUACAUAUUUUUAUUGCAAAGAAUGGAUUAAGCAAAAAACUUCUAAAGGUAGAAACGUGACAUUAGGACAAAAUUCUGUGACCAGUGGAACGCUGGUUCCGCUGGAAGGAGAGCGAAGACAGACAGAAAGUGCCUCAUCGCCGACGCAGAGACUUCCCACGUAUUUUGAACAGCUGCGGGGCGGGCAUCAAAAUGCUAAGGCAGAGGUCUCACUCAGCGCCUUUUUUUUUUCUUUUCUUUUUUGGCCACACCCUCAGCAUACGGAAUUCCCAGGCCAGGGGGUCAGAUGAGAGCUGCAAUUGUGAACGACACCACAGCUGGGGCAACACCGGCUCCUUCAACCCACUGUGCCAAGCAGAGGAUCCAACCUGCGCCCUGGUGCUGCAGAGAUGCCACUGCUGCGGGUGCGCCACAGCGGGAACUCCAGGUCCCAGUGAGCGCCUUUUAGAAAGCACUGUCACGAAGUCCCCGCUGUGGCGCAGUGGGUAACACAUCCGACUGGGAACCAUGAGACUGCAGGUUCCAUCCCUGGUCUCACUCAGUGGGCUAAGGAUCCGGUGCUGCCAUGAGCUGUGGUGUAGGUUGCAGACGUGGCUUGGAUCCUGCGUUGCUGUGGCUGUGGUGCAGACCAGCAGCUGCAGCUCCAAUGAGACUCCUAGCCUGGGAACCUCCAUAAACCAUGGGUGCGGUCCCAGAAAAGACAAAAAAAAAAAGCAUUGUCACCACAGUGAAGAGUUAAUACUGCCACCAAAGUCAGGGCAAAACCCCAGCCUCAGCCACCUGCUCGUGAUCAAGGAUGCCCUAAAUACCACGGCGAGCGGCGCAGCGUCAGGAGCUGCUCCUCUGCGACCCUAGAGCACUGGGCCCUGCGUGGCCCCCACCCCGUGACCCGCCGGGAGCAGUGCCUCUGGCGUCUCACACGACCAAACGCAGCCACCUCACACCCUAGCACAUACGAACGUUUAUGCGGUGCGGCCAGACAGGAGCGUGAGACACAUGUGUUUUAAUAAACUGAUUUUUUAAAAAUCCCUUGAAACGAGUGAUUUUAUGGUUUGUGUUCGAAAGUUGGCAGUGCUAACUCAGCUUUAAAUAGACUGGCCUGGGCUCAGAAUCUCCCUUAUAGCACUGACUUGGAAAUUCCUCUUUUGUCUGCUGAUAAUUCAAAAGUAAACAAGACAACCCCAGGGGGAACUACUACCAAUUCUAAAUUAACGUGUUCCUGGAUUAUGUCUGUCACCAGAAGAGCCUUAAACACAGACUCAAUGUGUUCAGCCACAAGGAUGCAAAGAGGCCACAGCCCAGGAGCCCCCCAGGCCUCUCCCACCCAGUGCCACCGAGUUUAGCCGAGGAUGCAGGACGGACGUUCAAAGAGAGAAACAUUACAUCAACAGAAAGUUACACAGCAACGCACUUCAAAACAAGCUGGGUAACAGCAGAAUGAAUUCCUGCUUGCGCCGCAGGGCCCAAGAAGGGACCUCCUGCGGGCUUCCCGAGGCCUGGAGAGCAGCCCCGGCCCGUCUCACAGCCAGAACGUGCCCCAUUCGUCCUCGGACACACAGCGCCAAGGCCAAGGGCUGCACUGGUGCCGAGCCCACCUCCUCACGAGCUUCCUGAAAAGCCGCGCUGGAGCCCCCCACCCCCCAGCCCGACCCCCGAGCAGAGACACCCAGCAGGAGGCGGCCACGUGGUGCAAGGGUCCCCGUCCUCUGAGCCGGGGACACACGUGUGGCCUGCUCCGGGGAGCCCCUCUCGCAAGCCACGGGGGACCUUCCACAGCCCCCUGGGGGCGGCUGACGGGCUCUGCAUGGAGCCCUGUCCCAGUGACACGCCUGAGACACGGAGCCGCCCUCGUGGUUCCUCACGAACCAGAGGCCCAGGGCCGCAGGAGCUGCUCCAACACACAGCCUCUUAGAAACGCUGACAUGUUUACAAAGAAACAAAGGAACUGCAGACACGCAACUGUCAUUAAACUGAAUUCCUGUCUUCCCCUGAAAGAAACUCUAAUAAGUGGAAGAGAAACAAAACACGGAGAGGAAAGAUAAACAAUGACGUCACCCACCGGGGACAGAGCUUAAACCCAGGGGAAAGGCCACCCGAGUCCCCAGGAACAAGGCCGGAAGCAGACUCAAGGUGGCGGCCCAGUGGCCCAGCCCCGACCUGGUCCAGCCCGCUUGGGGCUCACUGCCUGGAGGGAGCAUCUGGACAGAGCUCCGUGGCUCUGCCUCGUCCACUGGGACAAGCCCCAUGGCCCCGGGGAUGACGCUGGUGCCUGGUCCCCAGGCUGCCGCUCAUGACCACACGGCCCACCCGCUCCUGGACAAGCGCCUAGCGACCCGACGGCAGCCUUGCUCCCGUGGAGGAUCCAGGUGACAGGAGGGCCACCUCCCCACAGAGGGACGUCGAGCAGGCCACGCACUGAGCCCAGGAGGGGGAGCCGGGCACCUCUGAUCCGCAGGAGCCACUGCAAGUUCUGGCCAAGUUCUGACGACGGGCGAAACCACACGGGAAACGCGCGGCUGGGGUCUGGCUCGGAAAGCGCACAGCCCCACUCGCACGCCAGGGGACCUGGUCUGUCGCCUAAGUGCCUCCAGGACAAGGGUUCCAGUCGCACUGCCUGCUGCUGCCUCCGCAUCCCGGCCCAACCCAGUGACGGCUCGUUCUGAGGGCCGUGGCCAGGGGAGCUGCUGCAGGAGCUUGAAGACGCUUCUGUUCAAGUAUUUUGAGCCAUCUUGGGCGACAAGCAAGGCCAGACUUACUGCCACUCCUGGUGAACUUCGCCAGGAAAAACAAGCCCUCCGCUCAGGGCUGGAAAGAAAGCCCCAGGUCCCGUCAUCGUGCAGCUGAGCAUCGCCCCCCAGCACUCACCCCAACUCGCCUGUGGCCUCCGAGCAAACGGCGACAAGGACAGGGAGGCACCGGCAGGCUCCGCGCUCAGGGCAGCGCCCUCGGUGGUCCUGGCGCAGCCCCU
rnacentral:lncRNA from 1 species